UACGGGGGGGGCAAGCGUUGUUCGGAAUUACUGGGCGUAAAGCGCGUGUAGGCGGUUGUCCAAGUUGGAUGUGAAAGCCUUGAGCUCAACUCAAGAAAUGCAUUCAGGACUGGAUGACUAGAGGACCGGAGAGGAUAGUGGAAUUCCCAGUGUAGUGGUGAAAUACGUAGAGAUUGGGAAGAACACCAGUGGCGAAGGCGGCUAUCUGGACGGUUUCUGACGCUAAGACGCGAAAGCGUGGGGAGCAAACAGG
rnacentral:rRNA from 1 species